rnacentral:rRNA from 1 species
AACGAACGCUGGCGGCGUGUUUAAGACAUGCGAGUCGCACGGUGUCAUUUUGGUAGCAAUACUUGGAUGGCACAGUGGCGCACGGGUGAGUAACACGUGAAUGACAUGCCCUUCAGAGGGGGAUAGCCCAGGGAAACUUGGAUUAAUACCCCAUGGUCUCGCGAGAGUAAAGGCGGCCGCAAGGCUGUCGCUGGAGGAUUGGUUCGCGUUCUAUCAGCUUGUUGGCGGGGUAACGGCCCACCAAGGCUACGACGGAUACCUGGUCUGAGAGGACGAUCAGGCACACUGGAACUGAGACACGGUCCAGACACCUACGGGUGGCAGCAGUCGAGAAUAAUUCACAAUGGGGGCAACCCUGAUGGUGCAACGCCGCGUGGAGGAUGAAGGUCUUCGGAUUGUAAACUCCUGUCAUCCGGGAGUAAGACCGGGCCGUUAAUAGCGGACAGGGUUGAUAGUACCGGAAGAGGAAGGGACGGCUAACUUCGUGCCAGCAGCCGCGGUAAAAC